AGCGAACGCUGGCGGCAGGCUUAACACAUGCAAGUCGAACGGGCGUAGCAAUACGUCAGUGGCAGACGGGUGAGUAACGCGUGGGAACGUACCUUUUGGUUCGGAACAACACAGGGAAACUUGUGCUAAAUACCGGAUAAGCCCUUACGGGGAAAGAUUUAUCGCCGAAAGAUCGGCCCGCGUCUGAUUAGCUAGUUGGCGGGGUAACGGCCCACCAAGGCGACGAUGUCUAGCUGGUCUGAGAGGAUGAUCAGCCACACUGGGACUGAGACACGGCCCAGACUCCUACGGGAGGCAGCAGUAGGGAAUAUUGGACAAUGGGGGGAACCCUGAUCCAGCCAUGCCGCGUGAGGGAAGAAGGUCCUCUGGAUUGUAAACCUCUUUUGGCAGGAACAAACCUGCGCUAUACGCGCAGCUGAGGGUACCUGCAGAAUAAGCACCGGCUAACUCCGUGCCAGCAGCCGCG
rnacentral:rRNA from 1 species